UGGCGGCAGGCCCAACACAUGCAAGUCGAACGCUCCAGCAAUGGAGAGUGGCAGACGGGUGAGUAACGCGUGGGAACCUUCCCAGUGGUACGGAAUAGCUCAGGGAAACUUGAGGUAAUACCGUAUACGCCCCUAGGGGGAAAGAUUUAUCGCCAUUGGAUGGGCCCGCGUCGGAUUAGCUAGUUGGUGAGGUAAUGGCUCACCAAGGCAACGAUCCGUAGCUGGUUUGAGAGAAUGACCAGCCACACUGGGACUGAGACACGGCCCAGACUCCUACGGGAGGCAGCAGUGGGGAAUCUUGGACAAUGGGCGCAAGCCUGAUCCAGCCAUGCCGCGUGAGUGACGAAGGCCUUAGGGUUGUAAAGCUCUUUUGGCGGGGACGAUAAUGACGGUACCCGCAGAAUAAGUCCCGGCUAACUUCGUGCCAGCAGCCGCGGUAAUACGAAGGGAACUAGCGUUGUUCGGAAUUACUGGGCGUAAAGCGCACGUAGGCGGAUUUGUAAGUCAGGGGUGAAAUCCCGGGGCUCAACCUCGGAACUGCCUUUGAUACUGCGAGUCUCGAGUCCGAUAGAGGUGGGUGGAAUUCCUAGUGUAGAGGUGAAAUUCGUAGAUAUUAGGAAGAACACCAGUGGCGAAGGCGGCUCACUGGUCCGGUACUGACGCUGAGGUGCGAAAGCGU
rnacentral:rRNA from 1 species